rnacentral:pre_miRNA from 10 species
GUUAUGCACUUACAACUGUUUGCAGAGGAAACUGAGACUUUGUAACUACAUCUCACUCUCAUCUGCAAAGGAGUAAGUGCUUUGC